rnacentral:tRNA from 1 species
GGAGGCGUGGCCGAGCGGUUUAAGGCACCGGUCUUGAAAACCGGCGACGGUUUACCCCGUCCGUGAGUUCGAAUCUCACCACCUCCG